rnacentral:rRNA from 1 species
ACGCUGGCGGCAGGCCUAACACAUGCAAGUCGAGCGGUAGAGAGAAGCUUGCUUCUCUUGAGAGCGGCGGACGGGUGAGUAAUGCCUAGGAAUCUGCCUGGUAGUGGGGGAUAACGUUCGGAAACGGACGCUAAUACCGCAUACGUCCUACGGGAGAAAGCAGGGGACCUUCGGGCCUUGCGCUAUCAGAUGAGCCUAGGUCGGAUUAGCUAGUUGGUGGGGUAAUGGCUCACCAAGGCGACGAUCCGUAACUGGUCUGAGAGGAUGAUCAGUCACACUGGAACUGAGACACGGCCCAGACUCCUACGGGAGGCAGCAGUGGGGAAUAUUGGACAAUGGGCGAAAGCCUGAUCCAGCCAUGCCGCGUGUGUGAAGAAGGUCUUCGGAUUGUAAAGCACUUUAAGUUGGGAGGAAGGGUUGUAGAUUAAUACUCUGCAAUUUUGACGUUACCGACAGAAUAAGCACCGGCUAACUCUGUGCCAGCAGCCGCGGUAAUACAGAGGGUGCAAGCGUUAAUCGGAAUUACUGGGCGUAAAGCGCGCGUAGGUGGUUUGUUAAGUUGGAUGUGAAAUCCCCGGGCUCAACCUGGGAACUGCAUUCAAAACUGACUGACUAGAGUAUGGUAGAGGGUGGUGGAAUUUCCUGUGUAGCGGUGAAAUGCGUAGAUAUAGGAAGGAACACCAGUGGCGAAGGCGACCACCUGGACUAAUACUGACACUGAGGUGCGAAAGCGUGGGGAGCAAAC